CCAGAUAAGACAUGUACCUUAGUCUGCACAACCGGAGAGAAUGUGUGUGUGUUCUUACCCAGUGGGUCAGGUAUGAGGUGUGUGUGUUCUUACCCAGUGGGUCAGGUAUGAGGUGUGUGUGUGUGUUCUUACCCAGUGGGUCAGGUAUGAGGUGUGUGUGUGUGUUCUUACCCAGUGGGUCAGGUAUGAGGUGUGUGUGUUCUUACCCAGUGGGCCAGGUAUGAGGUGUGUGUGUGUGUUCUUACCCAAUGGGUCAGGUAUGAGGUGUGUGUGUUCUUACCCAGUGGGUCAGGUAUGAGGUGUGUGUGUGUGUGUGUUCUUACCCAAUGGGUCAGGUAUGAGGUGUGUGUGUGUGUGUUCUUAUCCAGUGGGUCAGGUAUGAGGUGUGUGUGUAUGUGUUCUUAUCCAGUGGGUCAGGUAUGAGGGUGUGUGUGUGUGUGUGUGUGUGUGUGUGUGUGUGUGUGUGUGUGUUCUUAUCCAGUGGGUCAGGUAUGAGGUGUGUGUGUGUGUUCUUAUCCAGUGGGUCAGGUAUGAGGUGUGUGUGUGUGUGUUCUUAUCCAGUGGGUCAUGUAUGAGGUGUGUGUGUUCUUACCCAGUGGGUCAGGUAUGAGGUGUGUGUGUGUGUUCUUAUCCAGUGGGUCAGGUAUGAGGUGUGUGUGUGUGUGUUCUUAUCCAGUGGGUCAGGUAUGAGGUGUGUGUGUGUGUUCUUAUCCAGUGGGUCAGGUAUGAGGUGUGUGUGUGUGUGUUCUUAUCCAGUGGGUCAGGUAUGAGGUGUGUGUGUGUGUUCUUAUCCAGUGGGUCAGGUAUGAGGUGUGUGUGUGUGUGUUCUUAUCCAGUGGGUCAGGUAUGAGGUGUGUGUGUGUGUUCUUAUCCAGUGGGUCAGGUAUGAGGUGUGUGUGUGUGUUCUUAUCCAGUGGGUCAGGUAUGAGGUGUGUGUGUGUGUGUUCUUAUCCAGUGGGUCAGGUAUGAGGUGUGUGUGUGUGUUCUUAUCCAGUGGGUCAGGUAUGAGGUGUGUGUGUGUGUUCUUAUCCAGUGGGUCAGGUAUGAGGUGUUUGUGUGUGUGUGUGUGUUCUUACCCAGUGGGUCAGGUAUGAGGUGUGUGUGUGUGUGCUCUUAUCCAGUGGG